rnacentral:pre_miRNA from 1 species
UGCAGAUGAUGAUGCUGAUGAUGAUGAUGAUAGCGAUGGCGGUCAACGCAAUCACCCGGACCGCCGCCGCCGUCAUCAUCAUUGUCAUCAUCAUCA